rnacentral:rRNA from 1 species
UACGAAGGGGGCUAGCGUUGCUCGGAAUCACUGGGCGUAAAGGGCGCGUAGGCGGUCAUUCAAGUCGGGGGUGAAAGCCUGUGGCUCAACCACAGAAUUGCCUUCGAUACUGUUUGGCUUGAGACCGGAAGAGGUGAGUGGAACUGCGAGUGUAGAGGUGAAAUUCGUAGAUAUUCGCAAGAACACCAGUGGCGAAGGCGGCUCACUGGUCCGGUUCUGACGCUGAGGCGCGAAAGCGUGGGGAGCAAACAGG